UUGAGAAAUGUUUGUUUGUCAGUGCCACAAAGUGCAAGCCCACCGGUAGCUGCUGUUGUGGUUCCAUUGAUGCUGAUUGUCCUGAUUGGUAUUGGGGUUGCUGUGGUCGUCAUAAUAAGGUAAUAAUUGAGAAAUGUUUGUUUGUCAGUGCCACAAAGUGCAAGCCCAUCGGUAGCUGCUGUUGUGGUUCCAUUGGUGUUGAUUGUCCUGAUUGGUAUUGGGGUUGCUGUGGUCUUCAUAAUAAGGUAGUUAUUAAAGUCUCAAUUGAGUAAUGUUUGUUUGUCAGUGCCACAAAGUGCAAGCCCACCGGUAGCUGCUGUUGUGGUUCCAUUGGUGUUGAUUGUCCUGAUUGGUAUUGGGGUUGCUGUGGUCGUCAUAAUAAGGUAGUUAUUAAACGCUCAACUUAGUGAAAUUCUCUGAUGUUCCUUAAACAAAAAUAGGGGAAAGAAUUGAAAUAAAAAACAUCAGAAUAAACAGGAUAUAGGAUUUGAGGCAUUGUAUGGUGAGGUAUCAUUAUAUAUUUGGUUUCCUAGCAAUAAUAUUUCGAGGGGAAAAACAUUUUUCGAGGUUCUGCAAUGAAUUUGGGGAGCGGAAUGAUGUCAGGGCAACAAAAUUACAUUUUAAGGAAACGUAAUAAUUUUGUCGAGGGAAAGGAAUACUUAUAACUUCGAGGGGUAAAAAUUAUUAAUCUUUUCGAAAGAGCUCCGUAGACCUCGGCUUUUGGCUGCGGCGCAUGUGAUAAACCCUUCUUAAUGAUUUGGUGAACUAAUAAGUGCAACUGUUCUUUGCUUAGUGAAAGGUUAGUUUUGUGUUUGUUGUUUAUUUUCCGUACCUUUGACAGGUGGAAGAAGAGGCUUAGACAUCUAAACGCUGUAAAUGGUAUGUCAUCAUUUACAUCUCUGUAAACUUUCAUUUCAGAAAAAAAUAUUUUUCAGUUUUGUGUGAGAGGAUGAGAAAUUUCAGACUUUAAUUUGAAUUUAGGUCUUUAAAUAAUUGCCUUGACAAAAUGUAUAGCUGCUAUUAUCUUCAUAUUACCACGAAACUCUACCUAUUCAUCUCCCUGCAGUGUUGAUGACAAAGUUCCCAUGAAAUUCCUUAAAAUCGAAAGUUCCAGAGUGAUCUUUGUCAUAAUCAUUUUCACAAGAUUUAAAUCAUUGGGGAUUAAACAGUUUUGAUAAUGUGAAGGUAACACCUUUUUUUGAAACUUAAAUGUAAAAACAAUAUUAAAUAUUGUUCCUUCCCCUCAAAAUAUAAUUUCGUUAUCUCAAAAUACUUUUACUUUUGUCAAUGUAAUGCGUUAUUUUGUUCCCUCGAAAUUGAUUUGUUCUCUCGAGAUUAUUUUGGUCCCUCGAUUUUGUUGUUCGCAGACACGAACAAUGGGUAUGUAUUAAAGCAUAUAAACUAGGGAGAUCAAAUAUUAAAUUCAUUUCAAAUAUGUUUUGCAUAUCCUCUUCUGUUGACAACUUCAGUAAAGUUUGUUUUCAAAUGUUUGUUUUCAUUUGUUUUAUCAGUAGUGCGGACAGGCAUGGAAGAACUUUCUACAGGACCAGACAAUCCUGACGUUGAUGUCACCUCUGAUGUUAUUGCUGACACCAUAUCAACCAAUGUACCUAUCAUUGCACCAUCCGCUCUAUCAAUUUGAUUGACUAAUGUUUACAAGCAAUUAUGCAGAUUUUAUUGAACAUGUAACAGAUGCCUGUGGUCAUGCAAAGUAUUUUUUAAAAUCUUACUAAUCUUAUUUGUACACGGUUACCCUAAUCUGCACCAUCCGCUCUAUCAAUUUGAUUGCACCAUCCGCUCUAUCAAUUUGAUUGACUAAUGUUUACAAGCAAUUAUGCAGAUUUUAUUGAACAUGUAACAGAUGCCUGUGGUCAUGCAAAGUAUUUUUUUAAAUCUUACUAAUCUUAUUUGUACACGGUUACCCUAAUCUGCAGACAGUUAAACAUGUAACAAGAUCUAAGAAGAAUGAGAGGGGAACAGUUGCUCUUUGACUGAAUUUCUUUUUUAUAAAUUACCAUAAUUUAGAAUGUGCAAAGUGGGUAGACCACAUACCCAAUAAUCCAAUUGUGAGUUAGAUUUGAAAAAUGUCUGGUAAAAUGACUUAGUCAAAAUGAAACACUUACAUUUGAAGUUCUCGCUUGAUCACAAGUUACCACUUAAAGAGAAACGGAUAUGGGCUAUAUAAGAAGCCACGAUAUAAAUUAAUUAAUUACCCAGACAGUUAUUUGGUAAACGUGUGAUGUCAAGAUUCACAGCCUGAGGUGAAGGCAACACCAUGAAGUAGUCCUUAAUAUUUACAAUGACCGUCUUGCACUUUGUUAACUCAGUCUCUCUUCAAAGUCCAUCUUGAAGGAAUACACUGUUGCUUUCAAGUCACUUGCUACGAACCAAA